GGACGAACUUGGCGCCCCGGCCUUCGGGCGGUUAUUUUUGGGCGCGGCUGUGCCCGCGGCCUAUUUUUGGCACACGGAGGUGCCUCGCAAACUCUCGCGCCAUUCCGAGUCCGGCGGACAAAGUUGGCAGGCCCCACCCCCCAAGGCUAUAGCCCACCCGUUUUUGUGGCCUUUUUCCGCUGGACGAACUUGGCGCCCUGGUCUUCGGGCGGUUAUUUUUGGGCGCGGCUGUGCCCGCGUCCUAUUUUUGGCACAUAGAGGUACCCCGCAAAGUCUCGCGCCAUUCCGAGUCCGGCGGACGAAGUUGGCCAGCCCCACCCCCCAAGGCUAUAGCCCACCCGUUUUUGUGGCCUUUUUCCGCUGGACGAACUUGGCGUCCCGGCCUUCGGGCUGUUAAUUUUGGGCGCGGCUGUGCCCGCGGCCUAUUUUUGGCACACGGAGGCGCCUCACAAAGUCUCGCGCCAUUCCGAGUCCGGCCGACGAAGUUGGCCAGCCCCACCCCCCAAGGCUAUAGCCCACCCGUUUUUCUGGCCUUUUUCCGCUGGACGAACUUGGCGCCCCGGCCUUCGGGCGGUUAUUUUUGGACGUGGCUGUGCCCGCGGCCUACUUUUGGAACACGGAGGUGCCUCGAAAAGCCUCAUGCCAUUCCAAAUCCGCUGGACGAAGUUGGCCAUCCCCACCCCCCAAGGCUAUAGCCCACCCGUUUUUGUGGCCUUUUUCCGCUGGACGAACUUGGCGCCCCGGCCUUCGGGCGGUUAUUUUUCAGCGCGGCUGUGCCCGCGGCCUAUUUUUCGUACACGGAGGUGCCUCGCAAAGUCUUGCGCCAUUCCGAGUGCGGCGGACGAUGUUGGCCAGCCCUCCCCCCCCUUGGCUAUAGCCCACCCGUAUUUGUGGCCUUUUUCCGCUGGACGAACUUGGCGCCCCGGCCUUCGGGCGGUUAUUUUUGGUCACGGAUGUGCCCGCGGCCUAUUUUUGGCGCACGGAGGCGCCUCGAAAAGUCUCCCGCCAUUCCGAGUCCGGCGGACGAAGUCGGCCAGCCGCACCCCCCAAGCCUAUACCCCACCCGUUUUUGUGGCCUUUUUCCGCUGGACGAACGUGCCACCCCGGCCUUCGGGCGGUUAUUUUUGGGCGCGGCUGUGCCCGCGGCCUAUUUUUGGCACAAGGAGGUGCCUCGAAAACUCUCGCGCCAUUCCGAGUGCGGCGGACGAAGUUGGCCAGCCCCACCCCCCAAGGCUAUAGCCCACCCGUUUUUGUGGCCUUUUUCCCCUGGACGAACUUGGCGCCCCGGCCUUCGGGCGGUUAUUUUUGGGCGCGGCUGUGCCCGCGGCCUAUUUUUGGCACACGGAGGCCCCUCGCAAAGUCUCGCGGCAUUCCGAGUCCGGCGGACGAAGUUGGCCAGCCCCACCCCCCAAGGCUAUAGCCCACCCGUUUUUGUGGCCUUUUUCCGCUGGACGAACUUGGCGCCCCGGCCUUCGGGCGGUUAUUUUUGGGAGCGGCUGUGCCCGCGGCCGAUUUUUGGCACACGGAGGUGCCUCGCAAACUCUCGCGCCAUUCCGAGUCCGGCGGACAAAGUUGGCAGGCCCCACCCCCCAAGGCUUUAGCCCACCCGUUUUUGUGGCCUUUUUCCGCUGGACGAACUUGGUGCCCCGGCCAUCGGGCAGUUAUUUUUGGGCUCGGAUAUGACCGCGGCCUAUUUUUGGUACACGGAGGCGCCUCGUAAAGUCUCGCGCCAUUCCGAGUCCGGCGGACGAAGUUGGCCAGCCCCACCCCCUAAGGCUACUGCCCACCCGUAUUUGUGGCCUUUUUCCGCUGGACGAACUCGGCGCCCCGGCCUUCGGUCGGUUAUUUUUGGGCGCGGCUGUGCCCGCGGCCUAUUUUUGGCACACGAAGGCCCCUCGCAAAGUCUCGCGCCAUUCCGAGUCCGGCGGACGAAGUUGGCCAGCCCCACCCCCCAGCGCUAUAGCCCACCCGUUUUUGUGGUCUUUUUCCGCUGGACGAACUUGGCGCCCCGGCCUUCGGGCGGUUAUUUUUGGGCGCGGUUUGCCCGGGGCCUAUUUUUGGCGCACGGAGGCCCUUCACAAAGUCUCGCGGCAUUCCGAGUCCGGCGGACGAAACUGGCCAGCCCCACCCCCCAAGGCUAUAGCCCACCCAUUUUUGUGGCCUUUUUCCGCUGGACGAACUUGGCGCCGCGGCCUUCGGGCAGUUAUUUUUCGGCGCGGCUUUGCCCGGGGCCUAUUUUUGGCACACGGAGGCCCCUCGCAAAGUGUCGCGGCAUUCCGAGUCCGACUGACGAAGUUGGCCAGCCCCACCCGCCAAGGCUAUAGCCCACCCGUUUUUGUGGCCUUUUUCCGCUGGACGAACUUGGCGCCCCGGCCUUCGGGCGGUUAUUUUUGGGCGCGGCUUUGGCCGCGGCCUCUUUUUGGCACAUGGUGGCCCCUCGCAAAGUCUCACGGCAUUCCGAAUCCGGCGGACCAAGUUGGCCAGCCCCACCCCCCAAGGCUAUAGCCCACCCGUUUUUGUGGCCUUUUUCCGCUGAACGAACUUGGCGCCCCGGCCUUCGGGCAGUUAUUUUUGGGCGCGGCUUUGCCCGCGGCAUUUUUUUGGCACACGGAGGCCCCUCGCAAAGUCUCACGGCAUUCCGAGUCCGGCGGACGAAGUUGGCCAGCUCCACCCCCCAAGGCUAUAGCCCACCUGUUUUUGGUUUCUUUUUCCGCUGGACGAACUUGGCGCCCCGUCCUUCGGGCGGUUAUUUUUGGGCGCGGCUUUGCCCGCGGCCUACUUUUGGCACAUGGAGGCCCCUCGCAAAGUCUCGCGGCAUUCCGAGUCCGGCGGACGAAGUUGGCCAGCCCCACCCCCCAAGGCUAUAGCCCACCCGUUUUUGUGGUCUUUUUCCGCUGGACGAACUUGGCGCCCCGGCCUUCGGGCGGUUAUUUUUGGGCGCGGCAUUGCCCGCGGCCUAUUUUUGGCACCCGGAGGCCCCUCGCAACAUCUCGCGGCAUUCCAAGUCCGGCGGACGAAGUUGGCCAGCCCCACCCCCCAAGGCUAUAGCCCACCCGUUUUUGUGGCCUUUUUCUGCUGGACGAACUUGGCGCCCCGGCCUUCGGGCGGUUAUUUUUGGGCGCAGCUAUGCCCGCGGCCUAUUUUUGGCACCCGGAGGUCCCUCGCAAACUCUCGCAGCAUUCCAAGUCCGGCGGAUAAAGUUGGCCAGCCCCACCCCCCAAGGCUAUAGCCCACCCGUUUUUGUGGCCUUUUUCUGCUGGACGAACUUGGCGCCCCGUCCUUCGGGCGGUUAUUUUUGGGCGCGGCUAUGCCCACGGCCUAUUUUUGGCACCCGGAGGCCCCUCGCAAACUCUCGCGGCAUUCCGAGUCCGGCGGACGAAGUUGGCCAGCCCCACCCCCCAAGGCUAUAGUCCACCCGUUUUUGUGGCCUUUUUCCGCUGGAUGAACUUGGCGCCCGAGCCUUCGGGCAGUUAUUUUUAGCGCGGCUUUGCCCGCGGCCUAUUUUUGGCAAACAGAGGCCCCUCGCAAAGUCUCGCGGUAUUCCGAGUCCGGCGGACGAAGUCGGCCAGCCCCACCCCCCAAGGCUAUAGCCCACCCGUUUUUGUGGCCUUUUUCCGCUGGACGAAUUUGGCGCCCCGGCCUUCGGGCAGUUAUUUUUGGCCGCGGCUUUGCCCACGGCCUAUUUUUGGCACACGGAGGCCCCUCGCAAAGUCUCGCGGCAUUCCGAGUCCGGCGGACGAAGCUGGCCAGCCCCACCCCCCAAGGCUAUAGCCCACCCGUUUUUGUGGCCUUUUUCCGCUGGACGAACUUGGCGCCCCGGCCUUCGGGCGGUUAUUCUUGGGCGCGGCUUUGCCCGCGGCAUAUUUUUGGCACACGGAGGCCCCUCGCAAUGUCUCGCGGCAUUCCGAGUCCGGCGGACCAAGUUAGCCAGCCCCACCCCCCAAGGCUAUAGCCCACCCGUUUUUGUGGCCUUUUUCCGCUGGACGAACUUGGCGCACCGGCCUUCGGUCGGUUAUUUUUGGGCUUGGCUUUGGCCGUGGCCUAUUUUGGCAACGGAGGCCCCUAGCAAAGUCUCCCGGCAUUCCGAGUCCGGCGGACGAAGUUGGCCAGCCCCACCCCCCAAAGCUAUAGCCCACCCGUUUUUGUGGCCUUUUUCCGCUGGACGAACUUGGCGCCCCGGCCUUCGGGCGGUUAUUUUUGGCCGCGGCUUUCCCCGCGGCCUAUUUUUGUCACACGGAGGCCCCUCGCAAAGUCUCGCGGCAUUCCGAGUCCGGCAGACGAAGGUGGCCAGCCCCACCCCCCAAGGCUAUAGCCCACCCGUUUUUGUGGCCUUUCUCCGCUGGACGAAUUUGGUGCCCCGGCCUUCGGGCGGUUAUUUUUGGGUGCGGCUUUGCCCGCGGCCUAUUUUCGGCACACGGAGGCCCCUCGCAAAGUCUCGCGGCAUUCUGAAUUUGGCGGACG
rnacentral:lncRNA from 1 species